GCCUUCGUGGUGUUAGUGGUCAGCAUGCUGGGCCCGUAUUCCAGAGGUCCGUGGUUCGAUUCCCGAGGAAGGCG
rnacentral:tRNA from 1 species